CAACAGCUCAUGGGGAACUGAGGGCUCAGUCCAACAGCCCAGGAGGAAAUGCCUUCUGCCAACAAUCUCCUGAGUGCGCUUAGGACAUAUUCUUCCCCAGUCAAGCCUUCCGUUGACUGCAGCCCCUGCCAACACUGGGAUUGCAGCCUGCGAGAGACGCUGAAAGCAGAAGACCCACGUAAGCUGCACCUGGAUUCCUGACCUACAGAAACUAUACAAGCUAUGGUCCAUGGGAUUUGCAUGCCCUUCUCGGGCCCCUCCGGGCACAAGGAAUGCUCAUUCACAAAAGGAGAGAGAGGCUAUUUCUGCUACUGUCUUGACCAUGUUCUACCAAGGACCUUGUCAUCCCCAUUUUGCCAAAUCUGCUGUGUGGCUGACAGGGUCUUGGUGCUCCAGCCGGGUGUCAGGCCUGAGCCUCUGAGGUGGGAGAGCCGAGUUCAGGACAUUGGACCACCAGAGAACUCCAGCCCCACAUAAUAUCAUUUGGUGAGAGCUCUCCCAGAGAUCUCUGUCUCAAAUCUAAGACCCAGCUCCACUCAACAGCCAGCAAGCUACAAUGCUGGACACCCUAUGCCAGACAACUAGCAAGACAGGAACACAACCCCACCCAUUAGCAGAGAGGCUGCCUAAAAUCAUAAUAAGUUGACAGACACCCCAAAACACACCACUGGACGGGGUACUGCCCACCAGAAAGACAAGAUCCAGCGUCAUCCACCAGAACACAGGCACCAGUCCCCUGCACCAGGAAGCCUAUACAACCCACUGAACCAACCUUACCCAGUGGAGGCAGACACCAAAAACAACGGAAACUACGAACCUGCAGCCUGUGAAAUGGAGACCCCAAACACAGUAAGUUAAGCAAAAUGGGAAGACAGAGGAAUAUGCAGCAGAUGAAGGAGCAAGGUAAAAACCCACCAGACCAAACAAAUGAAGAGGAAAUAGACAGUCUACCUGAAAAAGAAUUCAGAGUAAUGAUAGUAAAGAUGAUCCAAAAUCUUGGAAAUAGAAUGGAGAAAAUACAAGAAAUGUUUAACAAGGACCUGGAAGAAUGAAAGAGCAAACAAACAAUGAUGAACAACACAAU